ACAGCAGAGGACUGUUGGGAUUCAGUCAGAAUUCCUAGCUUCUAUUUCAGACUGGAAAUAAGGCUUUAGCUCUGAAGUUCACCCUGAAGCAGAGUGCAAGCAUGGAAAAAUUCAGCCUGAAUACUUAAAAUCUGGCAAAGUAAAAACCAUCUGAAAACAGUGACUUAUGCUGGAAAGAGUCAGGCAAUCUUAACUAUAGACGUUGCUGCCAGCUCAGCCUAUAACACCAAGCAUAGAGAAAUAAAAGGAAUCAUUGCAGAUAUAAAGCACAGAGAAAAGAAAAAGAAGCAGAGGGUUCCACGCUUGCCAAGCAACAAGGUGAAAGAGACUGGAAAAAAAGAGGAGGUGUUGGCUCUGACAUACCUUCCUGAGUGAGCAUCUCUGCUGCCUCAUCACAUAAUU